UACGUAGGGUGCGAGCGUUGUCCGGAAUUAUUGGGCGUAAAGGGCUCGUAGGCGGUUUGUCGCGUCGGGAGUGAAAACCUCGGGCUUAACUCGGGGCUUGCUUUCGAUACGGGCAGACUAGAGGUAUGCAGGGGAGAACGGAAUUCCUGGUGUAGCGGUGAAAUGCGCAGAGUAUCAGGAGGAACACCGGUGGCGAAGGCGGUUCUCUGGGCAUGAUCUGACGCUGAGGAGCGAAAGUGUGGGGGAGCGAACAGG
rnacentral:rRNA from 1 species